CUGCAUGCAGAGCCAUGUUGCAGUCGAACAGGAAACAGCAGAAGGCUUUGGGAAUGAAACGAGGUCAUGUACCCUAAAAACUCUUACAAUGACAAAAACAUUCAAAAAAACAAUGCAGCAAUGUAAAGGCAUAAAUGAAAAGGUAAACAGUGACAAACAUUUAUAGAAUAAACUAGAGACAGAAAAACGGGAACCGAUAGACAAUGAGAGAGACAGGGGCAGACCUUGCCACCGCAAGUCUGGUCAAAAAAAUGUUUCCUGUUUGCACUCUUUCAGUUUAUGCAUCAGACAGAUUUGGAAAUAACAUUUCUUUCAUCAAACACAGCUGACCUAACUUUCUGGUUUUAAUUCUUUUAAUUUUUUUGGUGACAUCUGUUGGUUAUUUGAUGGUGUUAAUCAGAGUAGUAUAACAAUGAUAGCACUCCUAAUUUUGCUGUUUGGACUCUUCACGUCAGGAUCAUGUGGUCUAAAUGACACAAAAGCAUUAGUGGGGCAGAAUGUGAAUCUGUCCUGCAUUAUAGAGCGUGUACAAGCAAACAUCGUCCAGAUCCAGUGGAGUCGUAGGAUGGGUGGAGAGGAUGUGAAGUUGUUUGUGUAUAACCCAUCAAUGGGGCAAUACACCUACACAAAUGACGAUAAAUUUACAAUGACGGCAUUCAAAACCACUCAUAAUGGCCAACUUAGGGGCUCUUAUUUGGGCAUAGCACAAGUGGAGUCGAAUUACAGUGGAGAGUACAUCUGCGAAAUCACUACCUUCCCUUCUGGUUCCAUUCUCAAGAAAAUUAACCUGGAUGUCAAAGAAAUGAAUCUUGGGAUAAUCCCGGUUGGGGUUAUUGUAGAAGGGGAUAAUGUGACAAUCAGGUGCAACAGCAAGCCUCCUGCUGACCGUUACAAACUUUUGUCGACUAAGAUUGAAAACAAAGUUAUGCAGAAUCAAGAUGGUGUUUUUGUAAUUCCCAACAUUAGGAGACAUGACAGCGGUCUGUAUAUCUGCCAUUCAGAAUUGGAAUCAUUACAUCAAAAUGCAACAAUACAAAUUUCAGUUAACUAUCUUGAUCAAAUUAAAUGCAAUGUGGGGAGAUAUAUUGACCUUCAUCUUGGCCAGAAUUUGAGUAUUGCAUGCACUGCCAGUGCUUCACAGAAUGUGGAGUACAUAUGGACUAAGGAUGGUGUCAACGUGUCGCAUGUGCCCUCCAUCUCCCUGAGAUCUGUGAACAGCACUCAGGCUGGACUGUACAAGCUCACGGCAUACAUCAGCGGCCUUCACAGUCUUCUCCAGCAACUGCAGCUUAACAUCACAGAGAUGGAGGGACCAGGCGAGCAGUACUGGAGGUUCGGAGUAAACGAGGUGCAGUGCGAGGUGUAA
rnacentral:lncRNA from 1 species